CGGUGGCAAGGGGACAGGGGAGGGGCUAAGGAGGGGGAUCUCUUCGCCCCCUCACCCUCCCUCUCUGCCUUGUCUAGGCCCUGAGUGUCGCCCCAGAAGGGGCUGAGGGAAUGUUGUGGGUUGGGACACACGGGGGAAGGCGCAAACUGAAGGAAGCGAGAGACGUCGCCAGGGACCCAGGGCUCUCUCCUUCCAGUUCCCUGAGCCCCGCGGCCCCGCUGGCCACUCUCUCUAUAGCGCCCAGUCUGCCCCGGGCAGCCUGACCCGGUAACCCGAUCGCUCCUUUCUCCGGAUCACUGCUUCUGCCCCCACUUUAGGGCACAAGCACCCGAGUCCUGCUUCCCAGAGCGAGCUCUGAAUCAGGCGCCUGCGCUCUCGAGGGCGCCCUCCCCACCCCGACGACGGAGUUUGCGCCCCUCCUGAGAUAGUCUGAGAGAAGGACAAACUUUUGAGUGGAUGAAAAUGAAGAGGAGCCCGUCCGGAGCAGGUCACAGCCUAAUCGGGCAUGUGGAUGUUGAAUGAGAAAGGACAGAAAGACCAAAGAAACUCCAGCCCUGCUGGACCAAGGUACCAGCCUACAAGAGGACCCUAAAGGACUUGCAUCGGCCACAAGGUUGGCUCUCUGAAGAACAGAGCCCUAACUUUGACCACUGCCCUCCAUCAGGCACCCACGGGUGCCAGCCUGACAUUCAGGCUCGCAGACAGUUUUCCUGGCUGAACCCCAGUCCAUGCUGCCACCGCCCGGCCGACACAGAGCGAGCGAGAGGGAGAUACCACGGUCACUGUGUCGCGGAUGCGAAACCUGAGACUCACAGAGGUGCACACAAGGAGUUGUUUCCAGGGACCAAUUCCAGAGCUGGUGCCUUUCCACACAAGAGAAUGAAAUCCUGGCAACAGAGUCUCCGACAUGUCGCCAUAAAUUGUCUUCCGAGGAAGAAGCCAGAUCCAACAUCCAGUUCUAGCGGUGAAGCUUCUGAGAAGAGGCUGGAAUAACCAGGGUGGAAGGGACGCUGUAGAGGGUGGGGGCUCACUGACUGACUUUGCAGGCUGGGCCAGUCCGGCUGCCUAUUGCAGGCUCUCCUAGGUGGGCAGGCCUCUGGGUGAGAGCCAGGGAGGGGAUUUUCUGUAAUAUUACACAGUUGCUGCCCUGAUCAGGAACCCUUAUAGCAACAACAAGGGUUUACUGUAUAGCACAGGGAACUAUAUUCAACAUCUUGUAAUAAACUAUAAUGGAAAAGAA